rnacentral:rRNA from 1 species
UACGUAGGGUGCAAGCGUUGUCCGGAAUUACUGGGCGUAAAGAGCUCGUAGGUGGUUUGUCGCGUUGUUCGUGAAAUCUCACGGCUUAACUGUGAGCGUGCGAGCGAUACGGGCAGACUGGAGUACUGCAGGGGAGACUGGAAUUCCUGGUGUAGCGGUGGAAUGCGCAGAUAUCAGGAGGAACACCGGUGGCGAAGGCGGGUCUCUGGGCAGUAACUGACGCUGAGGAGCGAAAGCGUGGGGAGCGAACAGG